AAAGAACUAUUAAACAUUAUUACAUGAUUACAUAAACAUGAUUAAAGCUUCAAUUAUGGGGGCGCUAUAGACACACAGCCCCUAUAAGGGCUCGAUCAACAGCUGAAUGACAGUACUGGACAUCCUCACACUCCUCUUCCAUGUUUGAGUCUGCCACAAGACGGGCAGGUCAAGACGUUUGGAGUUAACCCAAAGUUAUGGAUAUCAUUCGUACACUGCCGGAACAGCCAUCAGGGGCAAUUUUUAGGGUUGAGUGUCGUGCCAAAGGAGGAGCAUGCCGAGUGGAGGACACAGGGAUUGAAACAUUGACUCACUUGUUAGUGGACAACCCACUCCUGAGCCACAGCUGCCUGUUUUGUCAACCUUACCUAUAGUACAGUACACAAAACUUUACAAAACAAGAUUCAAUAUUAAACGAGACCCUAGUUUGGUUUGGUCAGUUUGGUUUUUUCCAUCCUCCUGAAAUUUACAUCAGUACACAAAUGAUGUUAACCUUUUCUUCAUUUCAAUAAAUCACCUUCAAAAAACA